rnacentral:rRNA from 1 species
GACGAACGCUGGCGGCGUGCUUAACACAUGCAAGUCGAACGGAAAGGCCCUGCUUUUGUGGGGUGCUCGAGUGGCGAACGGGUGAGUAACACGUGAGUAACCUGCCCUUGACUUUGGGAUAACUUCAGGAAACUGGGGCUAAUACCGGAUAGGAGCUCCUGCUGCAUGGUGGGGGUUGGAAAGUUUCGGCGGUCGGGGAUGGACUCGCGGCUUAUCAGCUUGUUGGUGGGGUAGUGGCUUACCAAGGCUUUGACGGGUAGCCGGCCUGAGAGGGUGACCGGCCACAUUGGGACUGAGGUACGGCCCAGACUCCUACGGGGGGCAGCAGUGGGGAAUAUUGCCCAAUGGGCGGAAGCCUGAUGCAGCAACGCCGCGUGCGGGAUGACGGCCUUCGGGUUGUAAACCGCUUUCGCCUGUGACGAAGCGUGAGUGACGGUAAUGGGUAAAGAAGCACCGGCUAACUACGUG